AAAGCACAGGACUGCGUCUCUCACCACCACAGCCAGGCAGCUGCUCUUCUAGCUUCUGAUUAUCAUCCCCAAGCCAUGCCUUGGUCAUUUCUGAGUUGAACAAAAUCAUGGAAGAUGUGACUGUCAAGUGGAGACAUCGAGCCUUUCUGCUGCCCUCAGCAUCUCCCAGCAGCCUCUCUGGUUCAAGACUUUCUUUGUCUCUAGAAGUUGCUCCAGGAUCCCAGACUGUAUUGCUAAGCCAUUGCCAACGAUUUGCACUUCUGUCGUCCCUUUCAUCUGGGAACCACAAGGCCAUCUGAAACUUCUCUGAUCAGCUUCAGAGGAGUCCCCUCUAUCAGUUAAGAAUUGUACUCUACACUGAGAAGCAGGUAUUGCAUUUGUUGGUCGCAAGGAUAAUCCCCCAAAUUCCCACAGCAUCCAGAUGAAGUUGUCUACUGUCCACAGGAUGUUCAGCAAAGACACCGGGAUGUAUUUGCCUGAAGAAGAACGGAAGAGAACUGAAAAGAGACAUCUAAGGGGAUGACGUUGUCAUCGGGCCAUUAAUACCUGAACUGCAUUUUAUUUCACAGAGGGCCUCAGGUACUCACAUAGCCCUACAGUGUGGAAUCAAUGUCUGAGAAACCAGGAAGAAAAUCUGACCCAAAGCUAGUGGAAAGGCAGAGAGAGAAGCUGAUACCUUCAGGAACAGCGAAUGCCACACUUGUUUCUGCUCCCCCUGGAUUUAUCAUGGAAGGUGAUCUAAUCCAUCCAUUCCCAGAAGAGAGUGUGUUGUAGCACUGGGUAUUUAUUCUCAGCAUGCCAAAGUUCUGUGCCCACAGAAAAGGUCCACCUCGCCUACUGUCAAGACUUUGGGUAGAUGUGUGGAUGCUCAGAUGCCUUGCUCCUUUCUCCUUUCUCAUGCAUGUUUCUGGCUUUGUGUAUUCCCUGGAUUUUGCCCAUGUCCUUCAUCACUGUGGGCUCCAAGAUACACUUUACUUGGUCUGUGAAAAACAGCUGACUCAACUGAAAACCUCCAUGGACUUCUUCACUAUUGAUUCAGGGUGGACUCUACUUGCAUUGGUGAAAUUCCAGCCUGGGUUACUUCUGUCCAGUCUUAAUACUGAAAUUCUAGAGAGUAGCCACCCAAUCUGGAAGCCACGACAAAACUCUUGAUGGACGUGGGGAACUAGGUCAAUAUGUCACAUCCACAUCAUCCUAGAUCAGAUUGCCUGGGGACACAAUGACCAAGCUUUCCCAUCCAUAGAAGACAUGCUUCAGGCUGUCCCUACAGGCCCCCUCCAGCUCUUUAAGAGAGAUCCUUAGGGAGGCCCUGGUCUUUGUCAGAGACUGGGGUUGGUGGAGGGUGGCUAAUCUGUAAGUCUCCAGAAAACUAUGUGUCUGUCCUAUACAAUCUCAGCAAGCUGUUGGCCCAAAGUCUUGUGUUUUGCACUAACCAUGUAUCUCUCACUUCAUAUUAAACAAUACCCUCAACUUUUCAUCCUGAAAUCUCUUCUUGGUACAUUUGUUCAUUUUUCAUUCAUCUUUUCCUUUCUAAAUUUUCAAUGAUGUCCCUGAAUCAGGUGCAGAGAGAUGGCUCAAUUAAAAUAGUAGGGAGUGAACAUUACACUGGAAAUAAAUGUGGUAUAUUUAAGAAUUUAUGACAGGUUUUGAGACAGAUGUUGAUUUUACUUCAAAAUAAAGUACAGUUAUUUUAUGC